rnacentral:lncRNA from 1 species
GUCUGUGAGCCUUAGGAGUUAAAUGAUACACGUUCUACAGUCUUAAUGAAAUGGAUUCCAUGAAUGAACUGGCUAGAACAGUAGAAAGAAUGAGGAGCACUUGUGGUUUCUUCCGACCAUUUCUGGGAGUUCCAUUAAUUACAUGAUGCCGUUCGUGAAAGUUUCAGGAGGUGACCAAGCUCACUCUUUAGGGUAAGCAUAAGGAAUCAGAUAGACUGGUGUACAUAUGCUUUAAUGCUUUCUUUCCUUCCUCUGUCUCCCUGCAUUUCCUUUCCUCUGUUCGGUUUGCUUUAAGAACCAUAUUACCACUGGUCUCACAGGUAUCAGACGCACAAAGGAGGGUGAUUAAAGCGUCAUAUCAUCAUGUUCUCCAAUCGAUGUCAAGGACAACAUGAACAUAAAUAUUAUUGGUACAGGUUUGCUCAUGGAUUGCUGAAUAGACCAGCACCAGGGUGGCUGGUGCUGCAGGACACCAUCUGUGGCAUUACUAAAUGGGAAGGGAGUAUGCAUUCCACACGACUGCCAGCCACUCGCAAUGGGGAGGCCUUCAAUAAUUGUCUCUUCUUGUCCCUUCCCCCACUGCUCCCCGAGCAGUCGGUGCUGUAAUCAAAUCGUGUAUGUGGUCUUCCUGUGAUCCAUCUCUUCUGGGUGGAGACUCCUCAGAUUGACUACCUAGUGUUUGUCUAAUUCAACAUCUCUAGUGCUUAAGUGCAUGUCCCUUUUCUUUGUCUUUUCUUUUCUGGUCAUAAGAUAAGGUGCAG